CCUACGGGUGGCAGCAGUGGGGAAUCUUGCGCAAUGCUCGUAAGAGUGACGCAGCGACGCCGCGUGAAUGACGAAGGCCUUCGGGUCGUAAAGUUCUUUCGACAGGGAAGAAAAUGCCUAUAAGUAACUGUGUAUGUAUUGACGGUACCUGUAUAAGCAGCCCCGGCUAACUCCGUGCCAGCAGCCGCGGUAAUACGGGGGAUGCAAGCGUUAUCCGGAUUUAUUGGGUUUAAAGGGUGCGUAGGCUGUGAGGUAAGUCAGCGGUGAAAUGCCCCCGCUCAACGGGGUGAAGUGCCAUUGAUACUGCCUUGCUGGAAUGCGGAUGCCGUGGGAGGAAUGUGUGGUGUAGCGGUGAAAUGCAUAGAUAUCACACAGAACACCGAUUGCGAAGGCAUCUCACGAAUCCGCGAUUGACGCUGAUGCACGAAAGCGUGGGUAUCAAACAGGAUUAGAUACCCUGGUAGUC
rnacentral:rRNA from 1 species